GAUGAAUGCUGGCGGCGUGCCUAAUACAUGCAAGUCGAGCGAACAGACGAGGAGCUUGCUCCUCUGACGUUAGCGGCGGACGGGUGAGUAACACGUGGUUAACCUACCUAUAAGACUGGGAUAACUUCGGGAAACCGGAGCUAAUACCGGAUAAUAUAUUGAACCGCAUGGUUCAAUAGUGAAAGACGGUUUUGCUGUCACUUAUAGAUGGAUCCGCGCCGCAUUAGCUAGUUGGUAAGGUAACGGCUUACCAAGGCAACGAUGCGUAGCCGACCUGAGAGGGUGAUCGGCCACACUGGAACUGAGACACGGUCCAGACUCCUACGGGAGGCAGCAGUAGGGAAUCUUCCGCAAUGGGCGAAAGCCUGACGGAGCAACGCCGCGUGAGUGAUGAAGGUCUUCGGAUCGUAAAACUCUGUUAUUAGGGAAGAACAAAUGUGUAAGUAACUAUGCACGUCUUGACGGUACCUAAUCAGAAAGCCACGGCUAACUACGUG
rnacentral:rRNA from 1 species